CCUACGGGAGGCAGCAGUGGGGAAUAUUGGGCAAUGGGCGCAAGCCUGACCCAGCAACGCCGCGUGAAGGAAGAAGGCCCUCGGGUUGUAAACUUCUUUUGUCAGGGACGAAGAAAGUGACGGUACCUGACUAAUAAGCCACGGCUAACUACGUGCCAGCAGCCGCGGUAAUACGUAGGGGGCAAGCGUUAUCCGGAUUUACUGGGUGUAAAGGGCGUGUAGGCGGGACUGCAAGUCUGAUGUGAAAUGCCAGGGCCCAACCCUGGGACUGCAUUUGAAACUGUAGUUCUUGAGUGAUGGAGAGGCAGGCGGAAUUCGGAGUGGAGCGGUGACAUGCGUAGAUAUACGGAGGAACACCAGUGGCGAAGGCGGCCUGCUGGACAUUAACUGACGCUGAGGCGCGAAAGCGUGGGGAGCAAACAGGAUUAGAUACCCUUGUAGGC
rnacentral:rRNA from 1 species